AGAAUGAACGUUGGCGGCGUGGAUUAGGCAUGCAAGUCGUACGGGCCGCAAGGCCAGUGGCGCAAGGGUGAGUAAGGCGACGGUAACCAACCCCAUGACUGGGUAUAGCCGCGGGAAACUGCGGGUAAUCCCCAGCGACGUCCGGGGGGGGCAUCCCCCCGGGACCAAAGCUCCGGCGUCGUGGGACGGGCCGUCGUGGUAUUAGGUCGUUGGCGGGGUAACGGCCCACCAAGCCUGCGAUGCCUACCGGGCGUGCGAGCGUGGCCCGGCACACUGGGACUGAGACACUGCCCAGACUCCUACGGGAGGCUGCAGUCGAGAAUCUUCGGCAAUGGGCGCAAGCCUGACCGAGCGACGCCGCGUGGAGGACGAAGGCCUUCGGGUUGUAAACUCCUGUCGAGGGGGAAGAAGGCCCCGUGAGGGGCUUGACUGAUCCCUGGAGGAAGCACGGGCUAAGUUCGUGCCAGCAGCCGC
rnacentral:rRNA from 1 species